rnacentral:antisense_RNA from 2 species
CUUCAGCGAGCCCAGCCACAACGGCCGGUCCGCGGAUUUCUCCCGGCCGUAGGUGGCGAGCAGCGCCUGCGCCUC